rnacentral:lncRNA from 1 species
CCACAUCCGUCGGCGAGGGCAGCUCUCAGGGGCCACGUUCCGUGGUCUGGACAGCCCUUUGCUCUCCCCAGUCCGGGGAGGCUGUGGGCCAGAGCCAGGGCCUCGGUACCGGCUCCUCCUAAGUCCCCUCCAUGGGCUCAGGGACUCAAUGUCCUGCUGUGUGUGUCUGUGUCCAGUCGGGGGGGGGGGCAGGAUGCAGAGGGGACACAGGGAACCCAGGACCUUCCAGCGAUGGCUCCCGGAAUCCCCGUGGCACAGUGGGGCUCCCCUACCCAGGCCAUGUGCCCGCCAUGCCACGGCCUGAGCCCAGGAGUCUCCAAUGCUGGGGACGGGGCUGGUCCCAACUUCCCACGUUCACAGGGAGGGGUCUGGGGCACGGAGCUGCCUGUGUCAGCCCAACACAAAAUGGGCGGGGCCGGGAGGUGGGGAUGCUUCUGGAACCACGGGCUGGCACUCAGCCUCAGACCGCCCUCGCCCUGGUCGGCCGCACUCCCUGUGGUUGGGAAAGGUCCCCUUGUUCCCAGCCAGGUCCUGUGUCACAGAUGGCCCCAGUGCCCGGUCGCACGGCUCCCUCUGCUCAGUUCUCACCCCUUCCUGGGGGGCCGUGAGGGGUCUGAGCUCUCCUGCCCAGGGAGCCUCCCCCACAUUCUCCAUAGAUCACCCCAGGUGCUUCCACUGAGCCCACCCCACCCCCAACAGCUGCCCUGGGCCUGGGCCCACCCUCUACCUGAAGCCCCGCCCACUGACCUGAGAGCAGGGGCAGGCAUCUCCAGGAGUCUCCCCUGGUGUCUCGGGGGAUUCUGAGCAGGAAUCUGGCAGCUGGUGGGGGAAAGGUGGAGGCCCGGGGGCCAGCGGGGGCUGGAUGGUGUGGGGCGGGCACCCUGGGCUGGGGCUUCAGGCAGCUGAGUGUCUGGGAAGACCUGCAGAAGGGGCAGGUGAUUCCCUGGAGGGGAGUGGGACACCCGCUGUGGAGGCGGGGCUGGCUUGGGCCCUCCACCUGCACAGCCCCUCUGGCUCCUCCCCUCUGGGCCCCUCCCAUGGGGGACUGGAGCGGACUGGGCACGGUCGGCUUUCAUAUGUGCUGGUGGUCACUUCAUGGUUCAGUUCUGCUCAGUUCUGUGUGGUCCGGCUCUGUCACCGGCCUGCCGGAGCUCGCAGGAAGUGGGCCCCCAGGCACACACCAGCUCCUGUUCCCCCACCUGUCCCACAGAGCCACUGCCACCACCUCCUCACGUCCAUCAGCACAGCUGGCAACCAGCCUAGCUCCCACCAGCACCCUGACUGUGGGGCAGGAGGACGCCCAGGGUCCUUGCGUUCUGGAGUGCCCCCCCCGGCCCACACUGGGACCCUGAGUGUGCGCAGGUGUGGGCUGAGCCCUUCACACCCAGGGAGCAAGGAGAAAGACCUGACACUGGACACUGCGUGCAGUCGGGCCUGCCGUCCGACUUCUUGGUGCCAGCGUGCAGCACCGCCUUGGGCUCAGGACAGGAAAGUCACAUGGAGUUCCCGAGGGAGAGACCUGGCGCGGACCUGUGCCCUGGUGCCAGGUAAGCUCUGAACGCGCGGAGGCCUGGGUCCAGUCUGCUCAGAGCAGGCGCAGGGAAGCUUCCGGAAGAGCCGGCAGCUGGUUGCGAAUGCCCUGCCCAAAGCAGGGGCACAGGCGAUGACUCGCGCCAGGUGCAGCCCCAC